AACGCGAAGAACCUUACCAGCCCUUGACAUGCCGCGCUACUCACAGAGAUGUGGGGUUCCAGCAAUGGACGCGGACACAGGUGCUGCAUGGCUGUCGUCAGCUCGUGUCGUGAGAUGUUGGGUUAAGUCCCGCAACGAGCGCAACCCUUGCCUUCAGUUGCCAUCAUUAAGUUGGGCACUCUGGAGGGACUGCCGGCGGUAAGCCGGAGGAAGGUGGGGAUGACGUCAAGUCCUCAUGGCCCUUACGGGCUGGGCUACACACGUGAUACAAUGGUGGCGACAGAGGGCACAAGCGAGCGUGUGAACGUUAGCAAAUCCCAAAAAGCCGAUCUCAGUCCGGAUUGCGCUCUGCAACUCGACUACAUGAAGUCGGAAUCGCUAGUAAUCGCGGAUCAGCA
rnacentral:rRNA from 1 species